GAUGAACGCUGGCGGCGUGCCUAAUACAUGCAAGUCGAGCGAACGGACGAGAAGCUUGCUUCUCUGAUUUUAGCGGCGGACGGGUGAGUAACACGUGGAUAACCUACCUCUCAGACUGGGAUAACUUCGGGAAACCGUAGCUAAUACCGGAUAAUAUUUUGAACCGCAUGGUUCCAAAGUGAAAGACGGUCUUACUUUCACUUAUAGAUGGAACCGCGCUGCAUUAGCUAGUUGGUAAGGUAACGGCUUACCAAGUCAACGAGGCAUACCCGACCUGAGAGGAUGAUCGGCCACACGGGAACGAAGACACGGUCCAGAAUCGGAAGGGAGGCAGGAGCAAGAAAUCUUCCGGAAGGAGCGGAAGCGUGACGUAGCAACGCGGCGUGAGUGAUGAAGAGCUUCGGAUCGUAAAUCUCUGUGAUUAGGGGAGAACAUAGGUGAAGUAACUGUGCACAUCUUGACGGUACCUAAACAGAAAGCCACGGCUAACUACGUG
rnacentral:rRNA from 1 species